AACGGGGGGGGCGAGUGUUACUCAACUUUACUGGGCGUAAAGCGCGCGUAGACGGUUUUUUAAGUCUAGAGUUAAAACUUUAUUUAUUUAGAAAGAAGGCUUUAAAUACUAUUAAACUAGAGUUCAAUAGAGGGCAACAGUACUAUUGGAGUAGAGGUAAAAUUCGGUGAUAUCAAUAGGACUAUCAGAGGCGAAGGCGGUUGUCUGGUUUGAAACUGACGUUGAGGAGCAAAAGCGUAGGUAGCAAACAGG
rnacentral:rRNA from 1 species